UUUAAGAAAAGACCAAAAAUAAAAAGAGAAAAGUAAAGUAACGUUGCUCGUAUGCAGGACACUUUUUUAUCAUUCUGCCUUGAUUUGUGAAAUAUGAAUAAAGACAAUAAUGCAAGUCAAUGAAACGGCAUUCCAACGCCAUGUUAUCCAGAGUUCACCACACGAUAUUCAAAACUUUCUUGCAAUUGUUAUGUCCCAUACACUAUAAAAACAUGUUGUCAUGACAUAAUAGCAACAUUACAUGUACACGCAUAAACAAACUGGUAAUAAUCUUAAAAACACAUGAAAGUAGCUAAAAAUAAAUCUCAUUUUUGGCAGUAUAUAAACUUAAUGUUGGCCACACUAUAAGAUGUGAAAGCACUGUUUACUAUAAAACACGAGGUCAUUGAACUGCAAGAAUGGCACUGAAAUCUAUAUGCGAGAGACAUAAUAAACUAAAAUCUGAUGUCGGAGACUACAUUUCGCAAAUAGUUGAAGCUGAGCAGAAUAAACAAAUUGUUGAAAGACUGAAAGCCGUUCUUCAUCCUAAAGAGAGAAUAACUGUCAAAAGCAUUAGUGAUAUUUUUGACUUGCUGGAAAAGAAAGGAAUUAUGGGUACCGGGAAUUAUGAAUAUUUGAAAACCGUUAUUGAAGAGUUUGAUUUCCGAAUUGUGGAGGAUAUAAUUGAACCAGCCGAGCGAGAAAUCCGAGAUUUAAAGAAACAAUGAAACGACGGUUCAAAAAGAUAUUGCGAUUGGAAAAAAGUCACGGAAGGAACUGGAAGCAUUAAAACACAAUCUCGAUGCAUCGUUACAAAAGCAUCAACCAUUUAAAUGUUUUAAGCAAGAUUUACUUUAUCUGUGUUUAUAAUGUCUUGCUAUGUUAGCAAACAAAUACAAGAAUAGAUCAACAUUUACUUAAGCUUGCCCUUUUAAAAUGGAAAAGAUAUUUAAGAAAUAAUUCAUGGGGGCUUGAAUAUAUCGUGAUUAUACCACGGGUUGGCCCUUUAUGACAAAUAUUUCACCCUGAGCGAUAGCGAGGGGUAAAAUAUCGGCAUAAAUCACGAUAUAUUCAAGCCACCAUGAGUUAUUUCGAUUCUAAUAGGACAAAUAAGGCAAUUCGUUUGGAUCGAAGCGCUCUAGGUGAAGGCAUUAUUUGCCGUUCCCAUAAAUAAACGCACUAUUAAAUUGACGUAAAAGAACGGAGCAAACUGAAUAAAUGGCAUGCUUAAACUAUUUACAAUGACAUAUUUAGAUAGGUUUGGAUGAAUCUAAAUAAUAAUUGUAUUUAUAUGUCUUAUAAAUAUGUAAACAAAAAACGGCUUAUAUAACACAUUUUAGCAUCAUUUGUUUACGUUUCCUUGUUGUGAUGAUUUUCGGUUUCACAAGCGUGUAUUUUCCCGUAAAAUGCUUAUAUUCUUACGUCAUCAUUCUAUGACGUCGGGUAGCUCAUUCAUAAAAAAGCGUAUGACGCGGGAGUACGAUCGGGACAGCCCAAACAAUAUAUUCAUAUUUUACCACGGGUGUGUACUCAAAGCGUUUGAAGAACGUCAUGUUAGAAUCAUCUAUAAUACAUGUAUAACAUCUUUUCAAUAAAAUUCAAUUAAACUA